GGAUACAGCGUGCUUAUUUCUUUUGCAAUAGAGUUGGCUUGAAAGCAACAGAAAACCUUCAGUAUAUCAUGUUCAUUUUGUAUACCUUACAGUGUUUGGGUAAUAAAAAUAUGGAAAGAGUUUGUCAGAGUGUGAAAAUGACAAAUGAUUACACAUAAUUUUUUUCUUAUGUUUCAGGUAGGAAUGGAGCAAAGAAUGGUGUACAGUGGUCAUACUUUCUCUUAAAUUUUUGCACCAUUUAACAGAUAAGAUCAGAAAUUGCCUUAUUUACUUCCUUUCCCAAAGUUGUCCUUCAUUGGAAGAAAAAAAAGCAAUAAUAUCAUUAGCAAUUAGCAAGAACAAGGAGUAAUUUCUGUGUUUAGGACAAUGGUAAAAUGUAUCAUUUCAAAUCCUGCAGACGUAUACAGGGUGGAGACCAUACAAUUCCUGAGCAUUCUAUGUUUCCAGUGUCAUAUUUCUUACAUGGGUGACCUUGAGCAAAGCAGCACAACUUCACUAUUUUGUGCCAAGACACAGCUUUACCAUUCCUCAACAGUUCCCUGUCAUUCAAGGAUGAUGUUCUCAUCACUCCAAAUGGUAUAGAAGAUAUUUUGCUGCCUCUUUCAGGCUCAUACCCUAACACUGUGCAUCCAUCCAUCACAAGGAUAUAUCACAAUUAAUUUUCAUAGAUCCUAAGUAGACUGUGUCUGCAAGCCUGCUUGACUUUUUUUAUUCAGUAAAUAUCUGAGGGUAUAUACUGUGUGCCAGGCACUGCUCCAAGGGCCAAGAAUAAGUGAUAAAUAAGGUAACAGGAUUCAAGACUUCAUAUAACUUACAGUCUAGCGGAGGUAACAAAGAAAAAUAACACCUCCCCUGCCAAAAAAUAAGUAAAUUUACAUAAAUAAAAUCAUUACAGAUUGUAAUAGGUGCUGGAAAAGGGGAGAAAGAAACCCGAGUGUUGACAGAGAUUAAAGGUGGAUGAGAGGGUGAGGUGGUAAUUGUUAGAGCAUGCCAGGAGAAGACCCAGGGCCAAGUCUUCUAGAUAGAAGAAAUAACAUAUGCAACUUCUAAAGUAUGAAAGACUUUCACAGGUUCAGUAAAUUGAAUAAAGACCCACAUAGCUGUAGAAUGGUGUGGAAGACACAGUGUGAGGUAAAGAUGAUGGGGCAGCCAGAUGUCAGAUCAAGCAGGCCUGUAGCUCAUAGCAAGUUUUAUUCCAAGUGUAAUUAGAAGUUAUUAAUUGUAAUCAAGCAAAGUUGUAUAUAGCUUACUUUAUGUUUUUAACAGGUUGGUCUGGCUUCUGUGUGAUGCAUAAAUUAAAGAAAGACAAGAGAUAAAGCGGAUGACAGGGACUUAGGAGGCUAUUCUGGAAGCCCAGAAAAGAAAUGAUAGUGGAUGCAUUCAAGAGAUAUUCAGGGUAGAGUUAACAUUGCAGUUGUGGUUCCCUCUUUUCUAAUUCCUAGUACCUUGAAAUCCCAACCCAAGUAUCACCUCCCCUAUUAAGCUACUUUGAAAGCCCCUUAACCCUUACAGGUUAGAGGUUCCCUACUGUUCUCUAAGCUGCCUGUUACAUAUUUCUACAAUGUGACAUACCACAAUAUUUAACCUGCUUUAUAUAAGACUGUGAACACUUUUUUUAAAGACAGUAUCUGUGUCUUGUCCAUUUCUAUAUCCUUGGCCUAAGCACAGAGCCCAAUACAUAAGAGGUGCUCAAUAGAUGUCAAACAUGUAGGUGAAUCAUACCCUCUGGACUGUUGGAGAGCUCUUCUUAUGACAUGAUACACUGAGUGGGAGUCAGAUCUAGGAUUCUGGGAUUGAUUCUGAUAUUGAAAGGAUUGUGGAGGAGCUACUGCAUAUCAAGGUCACCUACAUCUACUAGAAGUGACCAAGAAAUCUCAGACAGGAAGCCAAAUUGAUUUUUCCAAGGCCAUUUCAGGAGUUCAUGACUAAGGUGGACUCUCUCAAAAGUACUUUGAGUUCCAUUUUAAACCCUGCUUUGACGAUUAUGGUUUAGAAACACUUGCUUACAACAUAUAGCUUAGCAGAUACUGUCAUUUUUGACAAGGGGUUUGCAUUUAUCAGUUGUAUGUCAGGGAACUGUUGGACAGAAAUCAUCACCAAGCUGUCAGCAUGGCAUUCCAUUACCUUCAAGCAGAUUCAUUUUAAUUCACCUCCGUAAAGAUUUAAGUGCCUAGCAUACACCAGGUGUACCUGGCUGUUAGGAUAAAGAUGGAUGUCAGGAUAUUUGUAAAUGGUCUCUGUUUGUAAGGAGCUCACAGUCUUGUGGGGAAAAUAACUAAAUAAACAUUUCAUUUGAGGUUGGUAAGAAGUUAUAAUGUAUGUGCAUAACUAUAAAUAUAUACUUGGUGGAAGAAUACAUAAUAGGAUCAUUUAUUCAUUCUUUUGGGAGAAGAAAUAUAUCACCUUUGGUCAGAAAGGAGCUUGAUUUGAACUGGAUCAGUAGGAGUAGAUCUGUCUCUUUGUCAACUUCCCAGAUGUAGGAAAGCCUAAGACUUAAAGCUAGUGGCUCCAGAGCUAGACUGUCUAGGUUUAAAUUAGUUACUUAUGACCUGUGUAACCUCUGCUGAAUUAUUUAACAACUCUUCAUCUCAGUUUACUCAACUGCUAAAUAGGAUAAUAUAAUAUGCAUCCCAUAAGUGCUGCCGUGAGUUUGUGCAUGUGAACAUGAAAAUGUCAUUCUGGGCAGAAAAAACAUGGUGCAUUUGCAGAGCAAGAUUAGAGGGCAGAUUGGAAACACAGUUUGUAGCCCAGAUCUUGAAGAGCUUUUUAACCUAUGCCUAAAGAAACUUAGAUUCCAUGCUAUAGGUAAUUAGGAACUACCAACAGUUUUAAAUAAUGGAGUGGUAACGAUCAGGUCUAGUCUUCAAAAGAUUUUUUUGGCCAGUGUAGAAAAGUUGGACUAGAAGGGGAAGGAAAGUGAAAGGCAGAGAGUCCAAAAGGUGGUUCUAGCAGUAACUCACCAGAGAUGCUUCAAAACCUGGAAUAGAUGCUAACCUGCUAAAUUUAAGGUUUUCUAAGAAUUUUGACCAUGGACCCUCUUUGCUUACAUAAUAUUUCAAGAAUUUAUCAGAACUCAGCUUAGGGAAUUCUGGCUCAACAUCUGCUCAUUUCUUGGAUUUUUUCUGCAUCUCAGAUUUUCCAUUCCUAUAACCCAGCAGGGAAUCAUGAUCACAGAUAGAGGUACUUGUAAAUUAUCUGAUGUGAACAGUUUAGCAGAUCAAUAAAUGAUCAAGUGAUCCAUGGAAACCAAGUUUGUGCUGAGCUCUCUGGAUUUUCGCAGUAGUCAGUCCUCCAUCUUAACUUUCUCUUCCCUUUGCUGCUGGAGGAGAGCAGUAUGAUACAAGUUGUACUUGAGGAAUAUUAAUCUUUUUGCAUACAUUUUGGAUUCAAGACAGGGACAAUGAUGCUCUGGAGGCUUAGAAUUUCCUUUCCAAUGCAUUUGCUGCAGUUCUCUCUGAAGAUAAAAAUAACAAAUCUUUAGACUGUGGAGGUAUUACCUUAAGUGUUACAUACAUACACAAACACAACACACACAUACAACUAUUUAAUCCUCACAAUAAUCCUAUGUAAUUCAGACACUAUUAUUAUCCCUAUUUUAUGGAUGAGCAAAGUGAGUCAUAGAGAAGUCCAGAUUCACACAGUGAGAAAAGAAUAAAACUAGGGGUCAGAAUAAAAUUAGUCAGUGGCAUCAGCUGGUAUUAAUAAACAUUUAAUGAAUGUGUGAAUGAAUGACCUAGGAGUGAACAGAAUGAAUGAACAAGAAAUUGGUGGUAGGCACUAGGAAAGUAAAAAUAAAUUAUGUGUUCAAGCUAAGGAAAACAUUAAGAACCAAAACAGGAAUCUGGCAGGAGUCCAAAGAAAUUACUCUCUAAAUGAAAGGGUUUGAAGUAGAGAGGGUGAAGAAAAAAGAGUGAAAUUUACUCAAGAUUACAGUAAAUACAACACAUUGGGAAAGUUCACACAUUUCUCUGCUGUCAAGAUCAAGCUAUUGUAUUUUUAUUGGCUCUUGGAAGUGGCAUUUGAAACAGAUACCAUUUUAACUGCAAAGAGUUUACUGAGUGAGGCCCAAGAAAUAUUUUCAAUUUACUGCAUUCUGUGACCUCGAAAAUAGAAAUGGCAUCUGUGUAUCUAGAAAGAGGGGUAGAAUGUGUGCUGUAGAAGGCUGGCCAACAUGGUUCUAAAUAAGCCUUCAGUCCCUACCUGAACCUGUCGAUAAGCUCUUAUUUAGCUUCUAGGUACUUUGCCCUGUGCCAGGUGCUACUAGAGGACAAAAACAAAAAUAUCCUCAGUCAAUAAAUAUUCACAACAUACACUAGUGCUAAGUACUAGGGAAUCCCAAAUGUAUAAGUUAUUUCUCUCAUCACAAAGGCCUUCUGACCAACUGGGAGGAAGAUGAUACAAACAGAAUCAUACAUUCACAUGACAGGUUUAUAAAAACUACUGUUCUAAUAAAAUAUACAAAGUAAGAUUUAGUAUGAAAAUAUAGUACAUUAAUUAUACAAUAAAGACCAAAGGUACAAAAUACAUUUAAGUAAGAAUGGCUUGAUAAUGAUUUAGGACUGGAGAAGGAAUUUUAAGUGGGUCUAGAUUAUUAAGCAACGGAUGAUGAUGAGAAGAACAGUUCAAAAAGAAAGAGAAGCAGCAGUAUCAAAUGCUGAUGAAAGAUCAUGGACAAUGAAAUCUUAUUUUUUAAAGCCUUUGGGCUUCCCCAAUUGGAGAAAGAUUUUACUGACCUUGAAUAAUGAAAUUAAAUACCCAAAGAAUGUAAUGCUAACCAUAAACUAUUAUUUCUUCUGAAAGAAGUGUACACUUCGAUCUUCAUGAUUUUAUUCUCCCAGUCUUUCUACUUUGGGGUUCUUUGGUCUUCAGAGCCCUAGAAACCUUAUCUUACGCUUCCAAGUCAUUCAUUUCCAAGUUUGGCAUCGAUAGGUGUCUGAAUCAUUUGUUUGGACUACAAAGAAACUCUGCCUUCUUACUAGUUUAGAAUUCUGUCUUUCUUUGACCUGUCCUUGACCCUAGAUGACACACAGCUGAGCACCUAUCCAAUUAAGCUCAUUUUUAUGCUAAAGAGGCAGGCCCAGGCCAUCUUGGUCUUUGCUGUGUACUUUUUUAUAUGAGCACUCAGUUCAUGUGUCACAGCAGGCAACCUGGCACUGACAUACAGCAAACCCUGAUUGCCAUCAAUCUGCUCCUAGGACCAUCUACCCAACCAUCACAAGAUAUCACUUCAGGGCUGACAUCUUUGGGAUCUGGUCCCAGCCAGGAAUUGUGAGUCACCCAGGGAUGACAGUCUGAUCAAAAUGCAUGAUGGAUAGGGCAUAACCAUCAUCCCAUCACUCAUGAGCAAGGAGGCAAAAAUUGUCAAGGUAGGAGUGUCAGGUGUGGAGAAGGUAAUUUCUGACAGGUGAUUAAUGCCAAAGAGCCAGCAAUCAUCCAAGUACUGCCAAGAGAAAUGGGCAGUUAUAUAUAUUUUUUCUCUGACAGUGCCUCCCUUCCCCCACUCUUGACCUCUAGUCUUAACAGUAUGCUGCAGAAAAUCCUCACAAAUGGUUUUUUCCCCCAAAUUCUAAAUAUUUAUGCCCCUCAAAAUCUACAGCUUAUAUACAAUACACACACACACACACACACACACACACACCCCCCCCAAAUGUAAUCCUAAUUAAGACCACAUAGCCCCAUCACCUUUUGAAAAACAACUGAAGUGAUCCCCAGUUUUAAUGUUACUCUAAUGUUAUUAAAGAAACAAUAAGUUAGCUUGGGGCCAAAUCUUGGUUUUGUUUAUGACCCAGAGCAAAUGAUUGUACCUGUCUGUAUCUCAGCUUCCUCAUCUACAAAAUAAGAUUGUCUUGAGGAUUAAAAGAGGAUAUCUUUGAAGUUUAUGGUAAAUGCUUAAUAAAUGCUAGAUAAUAUUAUUGGUGUCCCUCUGCAAUGCUUGUUGCAUAUGAGGGAAAAUUCUCAAAGACUGCAAAGAUUUUGUGAAACAUAGGGCAGCCAAGGGAAGCAGGUAAAAUGGGUGAGGGCAGAAGGUACUUUGGACACUUAAAACAAAAUGAGCAUGUGUCUUUUGGGAUGGGAAGUGAAGCAAAAUAGCAGAAGACGGGGUCAAAAGCCAUGCUUAGAGCUGCUGAAACCUGGUCAUUCCUUUCCAUCAAGGCCCAAGAAGAGACACCAUCAGCUUAUUUAAAACAUAGAGAAUUUUAGUACAAAAUCUGAGAGAUGAUCCUGGGACUCAUUUGUUUAGUCAGCGGUGUGGAGAAAUCCAGUCCAUCAUCACACCACAAACAGGUGUGGAUAUGCUGAGGGUAAGCACAUUGCAGCUUCAUGCAGACUCCAGACAAGAGGCAAAAACCACACUAGUUAUUUUAACAGAGAGAAUUUGUUGUAAAGACCUGUUAGUUAGGUUUUGAAGAACUGAAAAGGCAAAAGGGAAAUCUGAGGUAUCAGGAAGUAGCAAGUUUAGCUUCAAGUCUUGGGUUGAGGGAACCAUGGGAAGAGGUACAGUUGUCCUAAUUUGGAAGCCCUGCAGAAGGGGCCCUUGGAGCUGAAAUCAGGCCUCUGAGGAGGGGACACUGCUGGUCUGGCACUGGGGUGUUUGAGGAGUGUAAUGUAUCUGGUAUUUCAAGUGAGGAAAAACUGCCAACAGGAUUCAACUGCUGCUAGAAGAACUUCAUUUGAAAAAAUAAAGCUGAGGUGCCACUAAGGAGAAUAGGAAACCCACAGGAAAGAAGGAGCAAGUCCCUUUGUCACACAGGAGCUCUGCAGUUUCCCUCUAGCACACCUAACAAGGAGCCUCUGGCAAAACAAAAGGGUAGUUUGCAUCCUUCUGCUCCUGGCAGAUGCAAAGCAGGGUAGAGGAGGGGUGGGUGUGGAGCUAAGAGACAGCAGCUUAAUCAGCGGCAUAUUGUCUACUCCCCCCAUCCACCUACCCAAUAAAUAAUGACUACCUACCAUGUGCCAAACACUGGGAGCUAAGAUGCAUUAUGUUCCUCUCCAAGAAAGCAGACAAAGG
rnacentral:lncRNA from 1 species